rnacentral:rRNA from 1 species
AUUGAACGCUGGCGGCAGGCCUAACACAUGCAAGUCGAGCGGAGGAAGGGAGCUUGCUCCUGGAUUCAGCGGCGGACGGGUGAGUAAUGCCUAGGAAUCUGCCUGGUAGUGGGGGAUAACGUCCGGAAACGGGCGCUAAUACCGCAUACGUCCUGAGGGAGAAAGUGGGGGAUCUUCGGACCUCACGCUAUCAUAUGAGCCUAGGUCGGAUUAGCUAGUUGGUGGGGUAAAGGCCUACCAAGGCGACGAUCCGUAACUGGUCUGAGAGGAUGAUCAGUCACACUGGAACUGAGACACGGUCCAGACUCCUACGGGAGGCAGCAGUGGGGAAUAUUGGACAAUGGGCGAAAGCCUGAUCCAGCCAUGCCGCGUGUGUGAAGAAGGUCUUCGGAUUGUAAAGCACUUUAAGUUGGGAGGAAGGGCAGUAAGUUAAUACCUUGCUGUUUUGACGUUACCAACAGAAUAAGCACCGGCUAACUUCGUG